CCGUGAUGCAAGUCGCCUCUGGAGGGGCAGAUCCGGGGGACCUUCAGUCACAAGAAGACCCACCUUCCUGCCCUCCUACCCACCCGCCCCUGCUCAUGCUCCGGCUUCCGCUCCGGGGCCGUCCUGACUCCGACUGCUCACCGCCCUUCUCCCGGCGCCGCUCCCCGACGCGGUUAGCUAGAAUGAGAGGUUUAUUGGGCUUCAGCACAGGCUUCCGCGGGUUCCCAAACCGCGCCAGACGACCCCGCAGGCUGGGUGUCGCCAUAGCGCACCAAGCUCCCGGCAGGCUUUGCGGUUCCGUGCGUGACCUCGCGUGACCCCUACGGGCUGGACGAAUCGGCGCGGAGCUCGGGGAAGGCUCGUUGGCUUGCUGGCAGCCACCUCUUUCUUUUACUUGGCCGGGGCUGCGGCGACGCUGGGUUCGAACAGCGGCGGGUUCAUACUUGUCAGCAGAUUAGGAGGAGACUCUGGGUUCGUACGCCGACUGAGGCUUCUCCUUGAUGGGCUCCGGGCCCCGAAGUCUGGGGGCAGUACGGGGCCGGGGACAUGCAGGAAAGGGCCCUGGACCACUACAAAGCCGCAAAGAAAAAUUAGACUUGUUUCAUUUUAUAACAACAACAACUGCUACUACUGCUACUAGUUAGAUACCGUUUGCUCAUUUAUAACAAUCUCAGUUGGUAGGAUGAAGCUUAAACACUUGGCAUUCAUCGUCUUUUUCAGUCCUCUCGCCAGUCUUACAGACUUGGACCUUCAGUUGUGAUGCUUAAUCAGAAUUUUUUUUGAGAUAGGGUCUCUCUUGGUUGCCCAGACUGGAGUGCAAGUGGCACGUUCAUAGCUCACUGCAGCUUUAAACUCCUGAACUCAAACGAUCCUCCCGCCUCUGCCUCCUGAGUAGCUGAGAACACAGGUGCAAGACACCACGCCCAGCUAAUUAUUUUUUGUAGAGACGGGGUUUUGUCAUGUUGCCCGGGCUGGUCUCGAACUCCUGGGUUCAAGCGAUCUUCCUGCCUCGCCCUCCCAAAGUGCUUUACAUGACUGAGCCUCCGCGCCCAGCCAGACUUGUUUCUCAAGUGACUUCUUCUGGCCAUUUUCACAACUCAUUCCAAAGAUGUGCAGCAUAUUCUCAAAGCAUUUCCAAAUAAGCUCCAAGAAAUGUUUUUGGUAAUGGAAGCAGAAAACAAGCCUGUAGCUCAUGACUACUUUGGAGGAAGAACAUUUGGAUUUGUAAAUUUAGUGUGUUAAAAAAAUCACUUAUCACAGAUGUUUGGAAUCUUCCCACUGAUUUCUGCAUGGCUGCUUAUUUUUCUUCCCUUAAGUCUCAGUUCAUGUCACAGAGGGCUUCCCUGACCUCUCACACCUCACCACCAUCAACCUGUUUUCUCCAUAGCACCUAUCACAGUCUGAAUUGUCUUAUUAUGGCCUUACCUAUCCCUAACACCCAUUUAAAAAUGUAAGCAUGAAAGAAGGAACGUUGUCUAUCUUGUUCAUUGCUGAAUCCCCAGUGCCUAGAAUAGUACCAAUAAAUACUUGUUAAAUGAGCAAAUGUUUUAUUUAUUUAUUUAUUUUUGGAUUUGGGGUCUUGUUCUGUCACCCAGGUUGGAGUGCAGUGGAAUAUUAGCUCACUGCAGCCUUGGCCUCACUCCAGUGAUCCUCCUGCCUCAGCUGCUGGAGUAGCUGCGACCACAGGCUCACACCACCAAACCCGGCUGGCUUGGUUUUAUUUUUUGUAGAGAUGGGGUCUCAGUAUGUUGCGCAGACUACUCUUGAACUCCUGGGCUCACGUGAGCUUCCCUCCUUGGCCUCCCAAAGUGCAGGGAUUACAGGCAUGAGCCACCACACCCAACCUGAAACUUUUUUACAAAUCUCCAACUUUAUUACACCCACCCCCAAAAAAAUAAUGAAGCAGAAGACAUUGUUUAACAAGAAGCAGUUUAUUACACAAAACGAAACCUGAGAUAAUAGAAAAUAACACUUGCAGUAAUAAAGGAAGCAGCCUUGCACUCCACCUCCACACUCCAGAGUAUAAUUAAAAGACUCCUAUCAGACAUUUCUAUCACCAAUAAUGCCAACCUCUGCCUGAGGCUCCAGCAACAGUCAUUCAGAAACAACUGCCCACUUUAUACGUAAAAGUAUGAAAGGAAUGCCAAUGUGAGCCCAUGUCAUUAGGAGAGGUAAGGAUAAUCUACACCUUGCUUAACCAUCACUUAACCUUUUUAUUGCACAUAAUGAAAUUUAAGCCCUAACCUAGGUCUGUACUUGUGUAAUAAUUAUGCACUCUAAAUUAGCAUCUGCAUUUAGAUAGAUUGCAAGCUUAGAAAUCAGUCCUGCAUUUGACCUCUUUUGUCAGUGCCUACUAUAUCAAAUUUUAACAGAUUUUUUUUUUUUUUUUGAAAUGGAGUUUUGCUCUUGUUGUCCAGGCUGGAGUGCAAUGGCGUGAUCUUGGUUCACCACCACCUCCGCCUCCUGGGUUCAAGCGAUUCUUCUGCCUCAGCCUCCUGAGUAGCUGGGAUUAUAGUCAUGCGCCACCACGCCCAGCUAAUUUUGUAUUUUUAGUAGAGAUGAGGUUUCUCCAUGUUGGUCAGGCUGGUCUUGAACUCCCGACUUCAGGUGGUCUGCCUGCCUUGGCCUCCCAGAGUGCUGGGAUUACAGGCGUGAGCCAGCUCACCCAGCCCAACAGAUUUUUUUUUUUUUUUUAGACAGAGGUCUCACUGUGUUGCCCAGUUGGCACUCAUAGGCGCACUCACAGCAUACUACAGCCUCAAACUCUUGGGCUCAAGCGAUCUUCCUGCCUUAGCCUUCUGAGUAGCUGGGACUGCAGACCCAUGCCAUCACAUCUGGCUUAGAUAUAUUUUUGAAGGUUUUUUUUUUUUUUUUUUUUAGUUUCUGGAGUGCAGUGGCGAUCCUCCCACUUCAGCCUCCCAAGUAGCUGGAUCUACA
rnacentral:lncRNA from 10 species